rnacentral:rRNA from 1 species
GAUGAACGCUAGCUACAGGCUUAACACAUGCAAGUCGCGGGGCAGCAUGGGGGUUGCUUGCAAUCCCCGAUGGCGACCGGCGCACGGGUGAGUAACGCGUAUCCAACCUGCCCUUCACCACGGGAUAACCCGGCGAAAGUCGGACUAAUACCGUAUGUUGUCCAUUGACGGCAUCCGAUUUGGACGAAAGGUUUGGCGGUGAAGGAUGGGGAUGCGUCCGAUUAGCUGGACGGCGGGGUGACGGCCCACCGUGGCGACGAUCGGUAGGGGUUCUGAGAGGAAGGUCCCCCACACUGGAACUGAGACACGGUCCAGACUCCUACGGGAGGCAGCAGUGAGGAAUAUUGGUCAAUGGGCGUAAGCCUGAACCAGCCAAGUAGCGUGCAGGAUGACGGCCCUAUGGGUUGUAAACUGCUUUUAUGCGGGGAUAAAGUGGCCCACGUGUGGGUUUUUGCAGGUACCGCAUGAAUAAGGACCGGCUAAUUCCG